GAUGAACGCUGGCGGCGUGCCUAAUACAUGCAAGUCGAGCGAACGGACGAGAAGCUUGCUUCUCUGAUGUUAGCGGCGGACGGGCGAGUAACACGUGGAUAACCUACCUAUAAGACUGGGAUAACUUCGGGAAACCGUAGCUAAUACCGGAUAAUAUUUUGAACCGCAUGGUUCAAAAGUGAAAGACGGCCUUGCUGUCACUUAUAGAUGGAUCCGCGCUGCAUUAGCUAGUUGGUAAGGUAACGGCUUACCAAGGCAACGAUGCAUAGCCGACCUGAGAGGGUGAUCGGCCACACUGGAACUGAGACACGGUCCAGACUCCUACGGGAGGCAGCAGUAGGGAAUCUUCCGCAAUGGGCGAAAGCCUGACGGAGCAACGCCGCGUGAGUGAUGAAGGUCUUCGGAUCGUAAAACUCUGUUAUUAGGGAAGAACAUAUGUGUAAGUAACUGUGCACAUCUUGACGGUACCUAAUCAGAAAGCCACGGCUAACUACGUGCCAGCAGCCGCGGUAAUACGUAGGUGGCAAGCGUUAUCCGGAAUUAUUGGGCGUAAAGCGCGCGUAGGCGGUUUUUUAAGUCUGAUGUGAAAGCCCACGGCUCAACCGUGGAGGGUCAUUGGAAACUGGAAAACUUGAGUGCAGAAGAGGAAAGUGGAAUUCCAUGUGUAGCGGUGAAAUGCGCAGAGAUAUGGAGGAACACCAGUGGCGAAGGCGACUUUCUGGUCUGUAACUGACGCUGAUGUGCGAAAGCGUGGGGAUCAAACAGGAUUAGAUACCCUGGUAGUCCACGCCGUAAACGAUGAGUGCUAAGUGUUAGGGGGUUUCCGCCCCUUAGUGCUGCAGCUAACGCAUUAAGCACUCCGCCUGGGGAGUACGACCGCAAGGUUGAAACUCAAAGGAAUUGACGGGGACCCGCACAAGCGGUGGAGCAUGUGGUUUAAUUCGAAGCAACGCGAAGAACCUUACCAAAUCUUGACAUCCUUUGACAACUCUAGAGAUAGAGCCUUCCCCUUCGGGGGACAAAGUGACAGGUGGUGCAUGGUUGUCGUCAGCUCGUGUCGUGAGAUGUUGGGUUAAAUCCCGCAACGAGCGCAACCCUUAAGCUUAGUUGCCAUCAUUAAGUUGGGCACUCUAAGUUGACUGCCGGUGACAAACCGGAGGAAGGUGGGGAUGACGUCAAAUCAUCAUGCCCCUUAUGAUUUGGGCUACACACGUGCUACAAUGGACAAUACAAAGGGCAGCGAAACCGCGAGGUCAAGCAAAUCCCAUAAAGUUGUUCUCAGUUCGGAUUGUAGUCUGCAACUCGACUACAUGAAGCUGGAAUCGCUAGUAAUCGUAGAUCAGCAUGCUACGGUGAAUACGUUCCCGGAUCU
rnacentral:rRNA from 1 species